CCCCUAGAUGUUCUGGGCCGCACGCGCGCUACACUGAACAGUUCAACAAGUCUUAACCUUGGCCGAUAGGUCUGGGUAAUCUUUGAACGCUGUUCGUGAUUGGGAUAGACCUUUGCAAUUAUGGGUCUUCAACGAGGAAUUCCUAGUAAACGCAAGUCAUCAGCUUGCAUUGAUUACGUCCCUGCCCUUUGUACACACCGCCCGUCGCACCUACCGAUUGAAUGGUCCGGUGAAAUCUCGGGACGGCGGCUUGGUCGCUUGCGUCCGACUGCUGAAACUUGUUUAAACCAUAUCAUUUAGAGGAAGGUGAANUCGUANCA
rnacentral:rRNA from 1 species